UACGGAGGGUGCAAGCGUUAUUCGGAAUUACUGGGCGUAAAGGGCGUGUAGGUGGUCUAAUAAGUCAGGUGUGAAAGCCCUUGGCUUAACCAAGGAAGUGCAUCUGAAACUAUCAGACUUGAGUACGGGAGGGGGAAGUGGAAUUCCUGGUGUAGAGGUGAAAUUCGUAGAUAUCAGGAGGAAUACCGGUGGCGAAGGCGACUUCCUGGACCGAUACUGACACUGAUACGCGAAAGCGUGGGGAGCAAACAGG
rnacentral:rRNA from 1 species